rnacentral:rRNA from 1 species
AUUGAACGCUGGCGGCAUGCUUUACACAUGCAAGUCGAACGGCAGCACGGGCUUCGGCCUGGUGGCGAGUGGCGAACGGGUGAGUAAUGCAUCGGAACGUGCCCAUUUGUGGGGGAUAACUACGCGAAAGCGUGGCUAAUACCGCAUACGCCCUGAGGGGGAAAGCGGGGGAGUUCUUCGGAACCUCGCGCAAUUGGAGCGGCCGAUGUCAGAUUAGCUUGUUGGUGAGGUAAAGGCUCACCAAGGCGACGAUCUGUAGCGGGUCUGAGAGGAUGAUCCGCCACACUGGAACUGAGACACGGUCCAGACUCCUACGGGAGGCAGCAGUGGGGAAUUUUGGACAAUGGGGGCAACCCUGAUCCAGCCAUGCCGCGUGAGUGAAGAAGGCCUUCGGGUUGUAAAGCUCUUUCGGCCGGGAAAAAAUCGCAUCAGUUAAUACCUGGUGUGGAUGAUGGUACCGGAAUAAGAAGCACCGGCUAACUACGUG